CCCCGGAGAGUGGGGGGAGGAUUUCCUCUUCAGACGCCUGCUAGACGCGUCACCUUCAUCUCUUCGCUUAUUCUCUGUAUUUACAUCAAAGUGCUUCACCCUCUCGUCUGCUUCUCCGGAUGGCGGUGACGAUGCGAGCAGCUCGUGCUCUGGCUAAUUGCUCCCGAUUGUCUGUCGCGGCUGCGGUGUUAGCCUGUCUGUCUAUAUAAGAGCCACGACUGCAGGUGCGGGCUACACCGGCCACGGCUAAUCAGACAUGUGCCAGUCCACCUUCACCACACAGCUCUUGCUGGUCCUCCUGGCAUGCUGCUACAUCAGGGCUACUGUGCCCAAGAGACACGACAGAAUGGCAAGUGGCAGUAUGGAGACAGACGAAGUGAAGAAGAGCAACCUUCUCAGCCUCCUGUCUGCAAUGUUUGACUGGACGUCGUCUGAGAGCGAUGAGGUGGUGAUAAACAGCGAGGAGACUGCGCCGCCCUACAGGCCGCAGAGAUCCGUGUAUAACACGCAGGCGGGCAGGGAGAAGGCCACGUGCAAAAACUUUUUCUGGAAGACGUUCUCUACCUGUUGAGUCUCACCCUUCAGUCGAAGGUUCGUGUCAAUGCGCAGUUCGCCGAGGCAUAAGACCCAACCUUUGCUGAUGUAACCGGCUGUUCUGCCUGACGUCAAAAGCUGCAUGCUCACACAGCGCCGCAUCAGACGUACGUGCUGAAUAAUAACGCGCAGGAGCACGAGCCGCAUUAUCAAAGCAUAGGGUUCCCAUAUCAACGUAUCUUGUGAUUGUAAGCAAAAAUCGCCCGAGAAAGACGCCAGCCAUUGUACCCGAAUGCACGUCUUCUUUCCGGGGGUUUCUUUGUUGUAACGACGUCACCCCCAUCGCAUGCAGAGGAUAUACAGAAAUAAAUGUAAUGCAUAUACA